rnacentral:misc_RNA from 1 species
AAUACUUUUCUUUUGAAAACUAGAAAUGUAUUAAUAAUAAAUAACAACUCCAAUGGCUCAAUUACUAAGCUAUAUAGAAUACCGCAUUUGAGAGGAGGAAGCUGUUUAAUGAGCCACUCCUUGGUGGGUGCUUCCCAUUUGAGAUGCUAAUCAAGCUUCUGAUGUUGAACCAGCAUUUCUCUGUUUCUCAAAUCCCUUCACUGGAUCAGCAUAUGAUUGAGCAAAAGGUCAUCUGGACAGAAAU